AACGAACGCUGGCGGCGUGCCUAACACAUGCAAGUCGAACGUGAAAGUCCUUCGGGAUGAGUAAAGUGGCGCACGGGUGAGUAACACGUAGGUGACCUGCCUUUUAGUGGGGGAUAACCAGAAGAAAUUUUGGCUAAUACCGCUUACGAAGUACAAAUCUUAGAGUAGUACUUGAAAGAAUGCCUCUGCAUAUGCAUUUACUAAAAGAUGGGCCUGCGGAACAUUAGCUAGUUGGUGGGGUAAUGGCCUACCAAGGCGACGAUGUUUAUCCGGUCUGAGAGGAUGAUCGGACACACUGGAACUGAGACACGGUCCAGACUCCUACGGGAGGCAGCAGUGGGGAAUAUUGCGCAAUGGGGGAAACCCUGACGCAGCAACGCCGCGUGAGUGAGGAAGGACUUCGGUCUGUAAAGCUCUGUUAAUGUGGAAAAAUGGCAAUUGGUCUAAUAGGCCGAUUGUUUGAUGGUACACAUAGAGGAAGCACCGGCUAACUUCGUGCCAGCCGCCGCCGUAACAC
rnacentral:rRNA from 1 species